AUAUCAGUCAUGCAUAGCAUAUCAAUAAGCGGAGGAAAAGAAACUAACAAGGAUUCCCCUAGUAACGGCGAGUGAAGCGGGAAGAGCUCAAAUUUGAAAUCUUAAAGGGUUUUCCCUUUACGAAUUGUAGUUUAAAGAAGUGUUUUCUGUUGGAGUUUCGGUAAAAGUUCUUUGGAAUAGGACAUCAUAGAGGGUGAGAAUCCCGUAUUUGACCGUUACUUUCCAGCUGUGUGAUACACUUUCAAAGAGUCGGAUUGUUUGGGAAUGCAGUCCAAAAUGGGUGGUAAAUUUCAUCUAAAGCUAAAUAUUGGCGAGAGACCGAUAGCGAACAAGUACCGUGAGGGAAAGAUGAAAAGAACUUUGAAAAGAGAGUUAAACAGUACGUGAAAUUGUCAAAAGGGAAGCGUUUGACACCAGUGUUGUUUAGUUGAAAAUCAAUUCAAUAAUUUUUGAUUUUGAGUAGUAUUGACUUCAUCAGCUUGCUGCUUUCUUUUCGGAAAUUAUUGAAUGCACUUUUCAGUUAACAAGUCAACAUCAAUUUCUUUUGUUGUAAAAGGGUAAGAGGAAGGUGGCUUACGCUUCGGCGUAAGUGUUUAUAGCCUUUUACCUCUGCAAUCGGAGAGAUUGAGGACAGCAGCGUAGACUCUUCGGGGUUAGAUACACUUGUGCUAAGCUAUAGCCUUGUAUAGACAACUUGUUGACUAUGCUCAGUCAUGUAGCUUACUCGCUUGUGCUAUUUUACCUACGCUUAGGAUGUUGAUGUGAUACUGCGAGCA
rnacentral:rRNA from 1 species